rnacentral:rRNA from 1 species
UGGCGGACGGGUGAGUAAUGCCUGGGAAACUGCCUGAUGGAGGGGGAUAACUACUGGAAACGGUAGCUAAUACCGCAUAACGUCGCAAGACCAAAGAGGGGGACCUUCGGGCCUCUUGCCAUCGGAUGUGCCCAGAUGGGAUUAGCUAGUAGGUGGGGUAACGGCUCACCUAGGCGACGAUCCCUAGCUGGUCUGAGAGGAUGACCAGCCACACUGGAACUGAGACACGGUCCAGACUCCUACGGGAGGCAGCAUG